rnacentral:rRNA from 1 species
CCUACGGGCGGCAGCAGUGGGGUAUAUUGGGCAAUGGGCGCAAGCCUGACCCAGCAACGCCGCGUGAAGGAAGAAGGCUUUCGGGUUGUAAACUUCUUUUCUCAGGGACGAAGCAAGUGACGGUACCUGAGGAAUAAGCCACGGCUAACUACGUGCCAGCAGCCGCGGUAAUACGUAGGUGGCAAGCGUUCUCCGGAUUUACUGGGUGUAAGGGCGUGUAGGCGGGAAGGCAAGUCAGAUGUGAAAACCAUGGGCUCAACCUGUGGCCUGCAUUUGAAACGGUUUUUUUUGAGUACUGGAGAGGCAGACGGAAGUCCUAGUGUAGCGGUGAAAUGCGUAGAUAUUAGGAGGAACACCAGUGGCGAAGGCGGUCUGCUGGACAGCAACUGACGCUGAGGCGCGAAAGCGUGGGGAGCAAACAGGAUUAGAUACCCGAGUAGUC